rnacentral:rRNA from 1 species
AACGAACGCUGGCGGCAUGCCUAACACAUGCAAGUCGAACGAGACCUUCGGGUCUAGUGGCGCACGGGUGCGUAACGCGUGGGAACCUGCCCUUAGGUUCGGAAUAACUCCCCGACAGGGGUGCUAAUACCGGAUAAUAUCUUCGGACCAAAGAUUUAUCGCCUUUGGAUGGGCCCGCGUUGGAUUAGCUAGUUGGUAGGGUAAAAGCCUACCAAGGCGACGAUCCAUAGCUGGUCUGAGAGGAUGAUCAGCCACACUGGGACUGAGACACGGCCCAGACUCCUACGGGAGGCAGCAGUGGGGAAUAUUGGACAAUGGGCGAAAGCCUGAUGCAGCAAGGCCGCGUGAGUGAUGAAGGCCUUAGGGUUGUAAAGCUCUUUUACCCGGGAUGAUAAUGACAGUACCGGGAGAAUAAGCUCCGGCUAACUCCGUG